rnacentral:rRNA from 1 species
UUGGUUAAGUUAGAAAGGGCGCACGGUGGAUGCCUUGGCACUAGGAGCCGAAGAAGGACGGGACUAACACCGAUAUGCUUUGGGGAGCUGUACGUAAGCGUUGAUCCAGAGAUUUCCGAAUGGGGGAACCCACUAUCUUUAGUCGGAUAGUAUCCUUACGUGAAUACAUAGCGUGAGGAAGGCAGACCCAGGGAACUGAAACAUCUAAGUACCUGGAGGAAGAGAAAGAAAAAUCGAUUUCCUGAGUAGCGGCGAGCGAAACGGAAAGAGCCCAAACCAAGAAGCUUGCUUCUUGGGGUUGUAGGACACUCUAUACGGAGUUACAAAAGAAAGUUAUAAAUGAAGCGGUCUGGAAAGGCCCGCCAAAGACGGUAACAGCCCGGUAGUUGAAAUGGCUUUCCCUCCAGAGUGGAUCCUGAGUACGGCGGAACACGUGAAAUUCCGUCGGAAUCCGGGAGGACCAUCUCCCAAGGCUAAAUACUCCCUAGUGACCGAUAGUGAACCAGUACCGUGAGGGAAAGGUGAAAAGCACCCCGGAAGGGGAGUGAAACAGUUCCUGAAACCGUGUGCCUACAAGUAGUUAGAGCCCGUUAAUGGGUGAUAGCGUGCCUUUUGUAGAAUGAACCGGCGAGUUACGAUUUGUUGCAAGGUUAAGCGGAAAAAGCGGAGCCGUAGCGAAAGCGAGUCUGAAUAGGGCGCAUAAGUAACAGGUCGUAGACCCGAAACCAGGUGAUCUACCCAUGUCCAGGAUGAAGGUAAGGUAAUACUUACUGGAGGUCCGAACCCACGCACGUUGAAAAGUGCGGGGAUGAGGUGUGGGUAGCGGAGAAAUUCCAAUCGAACUUGGAGAUAGCUGGUUCUCUCCGAAAUAGCUUUAGGGCUAGCCUCGAGGUAAAGAGUCAUGGAGGUAGAGCACUGUUUGGACUAGGGGCCCUUCUCGGGUUACCGAAUUCAGAUAAACUCCGAAUGCCAUGUACUUAUACUCGGGAGUCAGACUGCGAGUGAUAAGAUCCGUAGUCGAAAGGGAAACAGCCCAGACCACCAGUUAAGGUCCCCAAAUAUAUGUUAAGUGGAAAAGGAUGUGGGGUUGCUUAGACAACCAGGAUGUUGGCUUAGAAGCAGCCACCAUUGAAAGAGUGCGUAAUAGCUCACUGGUCGAGUGACCCCGCGCCGAAAAUGUACCGGGGCUAAACAUAUUACCGAAACUGUGGAUGAACCUCUUUAGAGGUUCGUGGUAGGAGAGCGUUCUAAGGGCGGUGAAGUCAGACCGGAAGGACUGGUGGAGCGCUUAGAAGUGAGAAUGCCGGUAUGAGUAGCGAAAGAAGGGUGAGAAUCCCUUCCACCGAAUAUCUAAGGUUUCCUGAGGAAGGCUCGUCCGCUCAGGGUUAGUCGGGACCUAAGCCGAGGCCGAUAGGCGUAGGCGAUGGACAACAGGUAGAGAUUCCUGUACCAGUGCUAAUUGUUUAACCGAUGGGGUGACACAGAAGGAUAGGGAAUCGCACGAAUGGAAAUGUGCGUCCAAGCAGUGAGUGUGAGAAGUAGGCAAAUCCGCUUCUCGCGAAGCAUGAGCUGUGAUGGGGAAGGAAAUUAAGUACGGAAGUUCCUGAUUUCACGCUGUCAAGAAAAGCCUCUAGG